AUUGAACGCUGGCGGCAGGCCUAACACAUGCAAGUCGAGCGACCGGCGGACGGGUGAUGAAUGUAUGGGGACUGCCCGAUAGAGGGGGAUAACGACUGGAAACGGUAGCUAAUACCGCAUACUAUCGGAUAACCCAUAUGGGAUUAGCUAGUGGGUGAGGUAAUGGCUCACCUAGGCGACGAUCCCUAGCUGGUCUGAGAGGAUGAUCAGCCAAACUGGAACUGAGACACGGCCCAGACUCCUACGGAGGCAGCAGUGGGGAAUAUUGGACAAUGGGCGAAAGCCUGAUGCAGCCAUGCCGCGUGUAUGAAGAAGGCCCUAGGGUUGUAAAGUACUUUCAGUAGGGAGGCGUUACCGACAGAAGAAGCACCGGCUAACUCCGUGCCAGCCGCCGCGGUAAUAC
rnacentral:rRNA from 1 species